UACAGAGGUCUCAAGCGUUGUUCGGAUUCAUUGGGCGUAAAGGGUGCGUAGGCGGCGCGGUAAGUCGGGUGUGAAAUCUCGGAGCUUAACUUCGAAACUGCAUUCGAUACUGCCGUGCUUGAGGACUGGAGAGGAGACUGGAAUUUACGGUGUAGCGGUGAAAUGCGUAGAUAUCGUAAGGAAGACCAGUGGCGAAGGCGGGUCUCUGGACAGUUCCUGACGCUGAGGCACGAAGGUCGGGGGAGCAAACGGG
rnacentral:rRNA from 1 species